rnacentral:rRNA from 1 species
UACGUAGGGGGCAAGCGUUGUCCGGAUUUAUUGGGCAUAAAGAGCGUGUAGGCGGCUUUACAGGUCCGUUGUGAAAACUCGAGGCUCAACCUCGAGACGCCGGUGGAAACCGUAAAGCUAGAGUCCGGAAGAGGAGAGUGGAAUUCCUGGUGUAGCGGUGAAAUGCGCAGAUAUCAGGAGGAACACCCGUGGCGAAAGCGGCUCUCUGGGACGGUACUGACGCUGAGACGCGAAAGCGUGGGGAGCAAACAGG